CGCCGCCCCGCUGGUACCUCCUCCAGUGUGCGGGGCUCACCUGAGCCAUCCGAGCACAUCUGAGCUACCGUAGGUCAGCGCGGGAGGAGGUCACAGGCAACAGGACGCCGAGCACCUCAGCUUAGAAAGUGAGACAUAUUUCUCCAUGGCAGGAACUUUGUUGUCCAGCUUCAAUGCUCCCAUUUGGAUUCAAGCUCGCGGACUGUGCGGUACGCUGUGUGCAGAGACGCGCCCAUAGCUCUGGGGAAACAAUAUGGCAAUGGCAGGUUGAAGGCAGAAAGCACAUCUGAAGCCGGAAGAAAUGCUGUCUGAACAAUUUGUUCAUCUAUUCAUUAAAAAAUGUAUUGAUCAUCUAUUAUAUGCCUGGUAGAGUAUGACACAAAGUGGGCAGAACACACAGGACAUGGUCUUCACCCUUAGGAAGUGUAAGUUCUUGCAGGGUAUUUUUUGAGGGGAAGGUAGCUU